AUUGAUUUUAAUGCCAUGCAUCUAGAUAUUGGAAACGAGCUGUUCUUAAAACUUGACAAGUUUUAUAAAGUAAUCCUUCCUAUCUUAAAUGCGGAAGUAAAAGACCAAGCCCGCCGAGAGUUAUUACUUUCGAAACUCCUUUACAAAGAUUUAUCAAAUGAUUCUAAAUAUUGCAUUGUGUUGUUACUGCUCCAUGCGGUUCUUCAACCACAGCGUCAGAGUAAAACCCACAAACCAACGAUUGGUGACGCUCAAAGCUGAUAACUCUUUCGACGAUAUCCACAUUCCACGUUACCCCCGGAAGUUCUAUGUUCUCAGCCCAUAGCCGUUUAUCCAAGAAAUUCCCAUUCACACAUUCCACAAUAAAGAACCAUCAUGGUCGAAUGACAGUUAAAUGGAUACGACAAGGUCAAAUUGACGGUACAAAUUGUGGUUCUUGGAUUCUUUAUUUACUCUAGGAAGUUCAAUGUUCAUAAAUCUUAAC